UACAGAGGUGGCAAGCGUUGUUCGGAAUUACUGGGCGUAAAGGGCGCGUAGGCGGCCUACUAAGUCAGACGUGAAAUCCCCCGGCUUAACCUGGGAACUGCGUCUGAUACUGGAUGGCUCGAGUUCGGAGAGGGAAGUGGAAUUCCAGGUGUAGCGGUGAAAUGCGUAGAUAUUCGGAAGAACACCAGUGGCGAAGGCGACUCACUGGACAUGUAUUGACGCUGAGGUGCGAAAGCGUGGGGAGCAAACAGG
rnacentral:rRNA from 1 species